rnacentral:rRNA from 1 species
UGGGGAACAUUGCACAAUGGGCGAAAGCCUGAUGCAGCAACGCCGCGUGAGUGAUGAAGGCCUUCGGGUUGUAAAGCUCUGUCUUUUGGGACGAUAAUGACGGUACCAAAGGAGGAAGCCACGGCUAACUACGUGCCAGCAGCCGCGGUAAUACGUAGGUGGCAAGCGUUGUCCGGAUUUACUGGGCGUAAAGGAUGCGUAGGCGGAUUUUUAAGUGAGAUGUGAAAUACCCGGGCUUAACUUGGGUGCUGCAUUUCAAACUGGGAAUCUAGAGUGCGGGAGAGGAGAAUGGAAUUCCUAGUGUAGCGGUGAAAAUGCGUAGAGAUUAGGAAGAACACCAGUGGCGAAAGGCGAUUCUCUGGACCGUAACUGACGCUGAGGCAUGAAAGCGUGGGUAGCAAAACAGGAUUAGAUACCCUGGUAGUCCACGCCGUAAAACGAUGAGUACUAGGUGUAGGAGGUAUCGACCCCUUCUGUGCCGCAGUUAACACAAAUAAGUACUCCGCCUGGGAAGUACGAUCGCAAGAUUAAAAACUCAAAAUGAAUUGAC